rnacentral:rRNA from 1 species
AGGAUGAACGCUGGCGGUCUGCUUAACACAUGCAAGUCGAACGGAGUACCUCGGUACUUAGUGGCGGACGGGUGAGUAACGCGUGAGAAUCUGCCCUUAGGUCGGGGACAACCAUUGGAAACGAUGGCUAAUACCGGAUAAGCCGAGAGGUAAAAGAUUAAUUGCCUAGGGAAGAGCUCGCGUCUGAUUAGCUAGUUGGUGAGGUAAAGGCUCACCAAGGCAUCGAUCAGUAGCUGGUCUGAGAGGAUGAUCAGCCACACUGGGACUGAGACACGGCCCAGACUCCUACGGGAGGCAGCAGUGGGGAAUUUUCCGCAAUGGGCGAAAGCCUGACGGAGCAAGACCGCGUGAGGGAGGAAGGCUCUUGGGUUGUAAACCUUCUUUUCUUGGGGAAGAACAAAUGACGGUACCCAAGGAAUCAGCAUCGGCUAACUCCGUGCCAGCAGCCGC